rnacentral:ncRNA from 1 species
AAUAGAACGUUGACGAAGAUAUGUCGUAGAAAUCACAACUUGUUUAGAGAGUCCUAGUGGGUGGAAAUGGACCAGGUUGUUUUUACGGUACUCCUUCCGAGUCAGCUGGUAAACCAGUUGCGUAUUCUCGCGUUAAGAGAACUAGAGUGUUGGCCUAAUUUUUGAUUACGCUAACUGAACUCGGGUGGUACCACGUAAAAGACGUCCCGUUA